AUGGUCGGUGCCAAGAGACUUGCUCAAUUGGCAAAGAAGUGCCAGAGGGUGGACGCACUUGGGAGGAAGAGGCUCACAGUGUUGGCCAAACAAGAUCAAGACUGCUGCAAUUCAGUACCGGCCAGGGGCCACUGUGUCAUGUACACAGAUGAUGGGAGGCGUUUCGAGGUCCCAUUGGAGUACCUUGGCACGACGAUCUUUGGCGAGCUCCUGAGGAUGUCCCAGGAGGAGUUUGGCUUUGCGAUCGAUGGCAAGAUCACACUGCCCUGUGAUGCUGCAGUGAUGGAGUAUGCCAUAUGCUUGCUAAGGAGAAAUGCCUUCACCGAGGUCGAGGUCGAGAGUGCAUUCCUGAAAACUACCAUGAUGAGUGCCAAGAACCUCGCUCAGCUGGCCAAGAAGUGGCAGAGGGUGGUGGCUAUGGGGAGGAAGAGGCUCACCUCAUCAACAUCAGGGGGGGAAACCGGAGGGCCAUGUGGCACGUCGUGCUCACCUGUGGCUGGCAAGGGCCACUUCGUCGUGUACACUACCGACGGUGCGAGGUUCGAGGUACCGCUUGUGUUCCUCGGCACGACCGUCUUCGACGAGCUCUUGAGGAUGUCCCCAGAGGAGUUCGGCUUCACAGGCGUUGACGGUGACAGAAUCACGCUGCCCUGUGACGCAUCAAUGAUGGAGUAUGCCCUGUGUUUGCUCAGGAGAAGUGCGUCCUCAGAUAUGGAGGCCGCGUUCCUCAACACCAUGGCAAUGCCAUGCCACUAUCAUGCAGAGCCACAUCUCGGAGUUAGCCAGCAUAAUGGUGUUUGCAGCUCCUGA
rnacentral:rRNA from 1 species